CUCACUCUCUUUGGCCUUUUGGGAAUUAUGCUGACAUGAAUUGUGCAGAUCAAGUGUAGUAUCUGUGAGGCUCACUUCCUCCUUGGUUUUGGUCAUUUCUGGUGGGCUUGAUUACUGAUGCAUCUGCAGGUUCUCAUCAAGAUUAAUCUCUGAUGGUUGUCCCAAGGGACCUCACUAGAUUUAUCUCAAUUUUUGCCUCUGCCCGGAGACUGUCCUCUAUGCUUGCACACGAUGGUCUCCACUGUGUCCCUGGUAUUUCACUGCCUCCAGGUGACGCGAAUGCUC
rnacentral:snRNA from 3 species